rnacentral:misc_RNA from 1 species
UUUCCGUUGGUGAACCUGCGGAAGGAUCAUUAUUGUUUAACCGAGGUGCGAGGGCUGUCGCUGACCCGAAAGGUCGUGCACGCCCGAGUGCCCUCACACACAUCCAUCUCACCCCUAUGUGCACCACCGCGUGGGUCCCCCUUUGGCUUGUUCGGAGGGGGGCUUACGUUUUCACACAAACUUUGUAUGCAGUGUAGAAUGUAUUUUUUGUUUUUGCGAUCACGCAAUCAAUACAACUUUCAACAACGGAUCUCUUGGCUCUC